AGGGCGGGACACGUGAUAUCCUGUCUGAAUAUGGGGGGACCAUCCUCCAAGGCUAAAUACUACUGACUGACCGAUAGUGAACCAGUACCGUGAGGGAAAGGCGAAAAGAACCCCUGUGAGGGGAGUGAAAUAGAACCUGAAACCGUGUACGUACAAGCAGUAGGAGCAGGCUUUGUCCUGUGACUGCGUACCUUUUGUAUAAUGGGUCAGCGACUUAUAUUCAGUGGCAAGGUUAACCAUCUAGGGGAGCCGUAGGGAAACCGAGUCUUAACUGGGCGUUCAGUCUCUGGAUAUAGACCCGAAACCAGGUGAUCUAGCCAUGGGCAGGUUGAAGGUUGAGUAACAUCAACUGGAGGACCGAACCGACUAAUGUUGAAAAAUUAGCGGAUGACUUGUGGCUAGGGGUGAAAGGCCAAUCAAACCUGGAGAUAGCUGGUUCUCCCCGAAAGCUAUUUAGGUAGCGCCUCGGACGAAUACUACUGGGGGUAGAGCACUGUUAAGGCUAGGGGGUCAUCCCGACUUACCAACCCUUUGCAAACUCCGAAUACCAGUAAGUACUAUCCGGGAGACACACGGCGGGUGCUAACGUCCGUCGUGGAGAGGGAAACAACCCAGACCGCCAGCUAAGGUCCCAAAUUACUACUAAGUGGGAAACGAUGUGGGAAGGCUCAGACAGCCAGGAUGUUGGCUUAGAAGCAGCCAUCAUUUAAAGAAAGCGUAAUAGCUCACUGGUCGAGUCGGCCUGCGCGGAAGAUGUAACGGGGCUAAGUAGUAAACCGAAGCUGCGGCAAUGUGCUUUUGCACAUUGGGUAGGGGAGCGUUCUGUAAGCGGUUGAAGGUGUGUGGUAACGCAUGCUGGACGUAUCAGAAGUGCGAAUGCUGACAUGAGUAACGAUAAAGGGGGUGAAAAACCUCCUCGCCGGAAGACCAAGGGUUCCUGUCCAACGUUAAUCGGGGCAGGGUAAGUCGACCCCUAAGGCGAGGCCGAAAGGCGUAGUCGAUGGGAAACGGGUUAAUAUUCCCGUACUUCUUACAAUUGCGAUGGGGGGACGGAGAAGGCUAGGUGGGCCUGGCGACGGUUGUCCAGGUUCAAGUGCGUAGGCUUAAGAGUUAGGUAAAUCCGGCUCUUUUUAAGGCUGAGACACGACGUCGAGCACCUACGGGUGUGAAGUCAUUGAUGCCAUGCUUCCAGGAAAAGCCUCUAAGCUUCAGAUUGUAAGGAAUCGUACCCCAAACCGACACAGGUGGUCGGGUAGAGAAUACCAAGGCGCUUGAGAGAACUCGGGUGAAGGAACUAGGCAAAAUGGUACCGUAACUUCGGGAGAAGGUACGCUCUUGAUGGUGAAGUCCCUUGCGGAUGGAGCUGACGAGAGUCGCAGAUACCAGGUGGCUGCAACUGUUUAUUAAAAACACAGCACUGUGCAAAAUCGUAAGAUGACGUAUACGGUGUGACGCCUGCCCGGUGCCGGAAGGUUAAUUGAUGGGGUUAGACUUCGGUCGAAGCUCUUGAUCGAAGCCCCGGUAAACGGCGGCCGUAACUAUAACGGUCCUAAGGUAGCGAAAUUCCUUGUCGGGUAAGUUCCGACCUGCACGAAUGGCGUAAUGAUGGCCACGCUGUCUCCACCCGAGACUCAGUGAAAUUGAAAUCGCUGUGAAGAUGCAGUGUACCCGCGGCUAGACGGAAAGACCCCGUGAACCUUUACUACAGCUUGGCACUGAACAUUGACCCUACAUGUGUAGGA
rnacentral:rRNA from 1 species